CCAGUGUGCCUGGUGCUGGGGGGAUGGGUGGGGGCUAGGGGUGGUGUGUGUGUUUGGGGGCUUUUAAUCACAGGUGUAAUUGAUCACAUUAAUUAUGGCCCUGAUCCAUUGAAGCCUGGUUUAGAGCAUGCUGGCUCACUGAAAUGGCGUGAUACAGUAAAUAGUGUGCGUGUGUGUGUGUGUGUGUGUGGGUGUGUUAGUCAGCCUGCUCUGAUUGGCUAAUGUGAAUCAGCUGUCUAGCAGCAAUCUGAAGUUGACCACUGCUGCAGUGGGGCAGUUUAUAAUAGGAGUUAACCAGAGACGUACAUGUCAUAAAAGUACUUCUACGACAGAAACCGUGACUCCUAUCGCUUAGAUUGUUCAUGAGACCAGUUAGGAGUCUCUGAUGAACAAAUGGUGCGACAUUUGGGUCUGUAGUUUCAAAAAUGUGACCUCGGCGGCAGUUUCGAAAAGUAGUAACUUUUUUCUCUGAUCCAAAAAAUUCUGUGAAAUUUAAUAUGGGGCCCUAUGGGAGCGAAGCCUGCAGUUGCUCUCACGUUCAGGCAUGUGUCGCCAAAUGUGUAAGUCCGACUGAUUCCAUAGCUACAUGUUUGCGACCGGCACAAAAAUACCUACGUUUUGAUGUAUUAAUUGUGUAUGAGGAGUGGACGUUGUGGGCUACAGAGCAAUUUGUUCGGAAAAU